UACGGAGGGUGCAAGCGUUGCUCGGAAUCACUGGGCGUAAAGCGACCGCAGGCGGCCUGACAAGUCGGAUGUGAAAGCCCUGGGCUCAACUUGGGAACUGCAUCCGAUACUGGAUGGCUUGAAUUCGGGAGAGGGAUGCAGAAUUCCAGGUGUAGCGGUGAAAUGCGUAGAUAUCUGGAGGAAUACCGGUGGCGAAGGCGGCAUCCUGGACCGACAUUGACGCUGAACGGCGAAAGCUAGGGGAGCAAACGGG
rnacentral:rRNA from 1 species